rnacentral:rRNA from 1 species
UUAGAUCUCCAAUCAGGCAGGAUUACCCGCUGAACUUAAGCAUAUCAAUAAGC